CAACAUGUCGUAAAAAAAAUUGAAAAUGAAUGAAUGAAAAAAGAAGAAGAUAAUGUCUCGGGAAGAGGGGAUCUCCUUGCCAACUAGCCAGAAGCAUGUAAAAGAAAAUCAAACCAAUUGGGGUUGUCCUUUUAGCCGAUCUUUUUCAUGCCCACUACCUCUUCCAAACGGAACCCUUUGCCAAGGAAAAAACUGGGGCAACUUUGUGAGUCUCAUACAAAUUUUUCAUCAACCCAUGAUCCCNAGANUNGGGCAGCUUUGUNANUCUCAUACAANUUUUUCAUCAACCCAUGAUCCCAAGACUGGGGCAGAUUUGUGAGUCUCAUACAAAUUUUCAUCAACCCAUGAUCCCAAGACUGGGGCAGAUUUGCAAGUUUCAUUUGAUUUGUUCACCCUAAUUUUCAUGGAUCCAUACCCCUAUGCUCAUUUUCCCAAACGCUAAACCGGGGCAAAAAUUUUUGGUAUAUCGUGUUUUGUCUUGACACUCACAUAUUACACCUCCGUCAAGGAGUGAAUGAGGAAUGAUGUGCCCACAUGGCUGUCCUAGUCUUCUCCAAACCCUCCAAUACAUCUCUCAUUUUUCACCUACCAGUUCAAGCAUGUGUGCAC
rnacentral:lncRNA from 1 species